ACGCUCGACACCUACGGGAGGAGCAGUGGGGAAUAUUGCACAAUGGGGGAAACCCUGAUGCAGCGACGCCGCGUGGAGGAAGAAGGUCUUCGGAUUGUAAACUCCUGUUGUUGGGGAAAAAGAGGAUGGUACCCAACAAGGAAGUGACGGCUAACUACGUCNCGCAGCCGCAGUAAUCUGAGCGGGCUGGCAAGGC
rnacentral:rRNA from 1 species